rnacentral:rRNA from 1 species
UACAGAGGUCCCAAGCGUUGUUCGGAUUCACUGGGCGUAAAGAGCUCGUAGGCGGUCUGUCGCGUCUGCUGUGAAAACUCGGGGCUUAACCCCGGGCCUGCAGUGGGUACGGGCAGACUAGAGUGCGGUAGGGGAGACUGGAAUUCCUGGUGUAGCGGUGAAAUGCGCAGAUAUCAGGAGGAACACCGGUGGCGAAGGCAGCUCGCUGGGACGGUACUGACGCUGAGGCGCGAAAGCGUGGGGAGCAAACAGG